UAUGUCUGAGUUUGUAAGGGAGAGCGUUAAAGGGUAAUACUCUGCCACAGACAGGGUGAUAUGUCUGAGUUUGUAAGGGAGAGCGUUAAAGGGUAAUACUCUGCCACAGACAGGGUGAUAUGUCUGAGUUUGUAAGGGAGAGCGUUAACGGGUAAUACUCUGCCACAGACAGGGUGAUAUGUCUGAGUUUGUAAGGGAGAGUGUUAAAGGGUAAUACUCUGCCACAGACAGGGUGAUAUGUCUGAGUUUGUAAGGGAGAGUGUUAAAGGGUAACAUGGGAGUAUUGUACUAAUAGGAGGUGUGAGUGUGUUAGUAUUUCCUUAGUGUGUGUGUGUGCAGCCCAAGGUCCAGACCCAUGUGAGCUGGCUCAGAACCCCAGAUACAGGAAAGGACCUGAUGUGUGUUUCGACAACAACAUAGACGAGGAUGAUUCUGACUGUGGGAGCGGGACCUCUCUAAGCCCCUCCCUCUGGCCCAUGUUGGGGCUCCAACUACUGCUGCUGUGGCUCCUCACUGGCUCCCGACACUCAUGACCCCUACACAAACACACAAAUGCACACACAUACACACUCACAUCUCACUUAGACAGUGUUUUACAUUGGACUGUUUUCUGACACCCCAUCCUCUGAACGUAAUCACUGAUGUGUUAACUCACUGCCAGUAUGGAAGAGGAGUCACUCUCCUGUUCUCCAAUCAUUUUCCAAUGCCAAAGGGUGCUCUCUCCCAUCGGUCACUUCUCUUCUCCACCAUGUUUCAAUUGCCUGAGAUAUUCUAUUCUAUUCUAUGGUGCAACAGUAAGAGCUAACCAAACCCUUUAAUUCUGUAGUAUCUAUGUAUUGGUUUGAGUCUGAGGGAGGUUGAGUGGCUGUCCUUCAUGCCAACAUAUUAUUUUUCACUGACAGCAGAUUAUUUGUGUAGGCCUAGUUGUUUGUAUUAUUGUUGCUUAUGAUAUUUAUUAUAUGUAGAAAAAGAUCAUUAUGAAGACAACGAACACUGUAACUGAAAUGGACAGCAAAGUUCUCAAUAAUCCAACUGUUCCAGGUCAACCAGCAGUGAGUAAAUAGAUGCAGUAGACUAGAGUAGGGUUCACUCAACAGAGAGCUGACUACUAUGACACCAAAUAAAGCUCCUUAGAGUAAUGGGGAUAGUUGGCCCAUGAAAGAGACUCUGAUAACAUGUAGGGUCAAAUCAUACUUUAAUAUCGUUAUGGCCAUGGUGCCAAUCUAUGACCUGAGCCAAAUACUUUUGGUGUGCUUCAUUUAGCUUCACUUGCUGAGUGAGCAUGGUUGUACUUUUGGGACUAUUCCAUUGGUUCCAUUGCACCGGGAAAGCGAAAUCGAGUGCAACUCAAGUGAUACACUAUCUAUUUGACCCAGGUCUUUAGAGAUACAUAUACAGUAUAGCUUCAUUUGAUGCAUCAGAUUCCUAGUGCCUAUGUAGCGUCAACAUCCCAUUCAUAUAUCCAGAGUUAAUCUUUGAUGGGGAAUCAUUGGAAUGAUGUCUCAAUGUGUCCCAGUUGCACGCCGUACAGUAUGCUUUGUGUAGUAGUAGAGCAGGAGCAGUAGCUCAGAGAUAUGUUUCUUAUGUUACAUAACUAGCUGGUAUCUAUCUAGCCUGGGGGUCAGUCUCAUUCACCUUCAGUCUGCCAGACAGACUUGAACCCACCUCUGUAGAACAAUGUGCUCCUGAAGUUAGUUUCCUCUGGAUCCCCAGACUCAGGAUUUCAGCAAAGUGAAAGACAGAAAAGCUUUCCAAAAGACUACAGGAGUUUGUUUCACAUGCCUUGGUGAGCAGACAACUGGAGAAUGAUAUCAGCACAUACAGUAUAAAGACUGUUUCUUUUCCGUCUUCUACUGCUUGUUUCUUCUUUGUGUUGCUCUCUAAGUGCUGUCAACCAGACGCUGAAAGCUCGGUGUCAGAAUGCUGCAAUGUGACGGAAUAAGUCUGUUCGAUGUUGGACGCUCCUCAAACCAUGGAUAAGUCACUGUUUGGCCAUGAUGGAGAGGACCAAGGUACAGGCACUGUUACCACAGACCUGAACCACAGACAGUUUCAAGUCUUACCCCACUCUUAUCCCAACCUUACCAAAGUUAAGUUCACUGUAAACUACACAUUACAAAAAAAGCAGCACUGUAACCCAAAAUGAUGAACAAACAGCUCCUGUUAUGUUGUUUUUACAUCAGGGCCUAUCGCUGCCUGUGUUGUCCUUUCUGCCAUGGCCAUCGUGUGACUAACUGGUUUGGCGUUCAGGAUCAUGCCUGUUUAUUGGAGUCGCGUAAGGACAUUAUGUAGCCCUGGUACAGGCAUGUCCCUGGGGUAAUCCUUGAUUGUGCUUUAAUACAUGACUUACUCUUUUGUGGAACUUGACUAGCCUGAUUACAUUUUGUAUACAUUUGUACAAUAAUGAUAUUUACUGUAAAAAAAAAAAAAGAAACUGAAAAAAGGAGAUAUAAUGUUUAUAUAACUUGGUGGUGAUUCUUGUGCAAAUAUGAUGUAUUCACAAUAAACAUAUAGUAUUGUUAUGGUC